rnacentral:rRNA from 1 species
CAGCAGCCGCGGGAAUACGAAGGGUGCAAGCGUUAAUCGGAAUUACUGGGCGUAAAGCGUGCGUAGGCGGUGAGUUAAGUCUGCUGUGAAAUCCCCGGGCUCAACCUGGGAAUGGCAGUGGAUACUGGCUCGCUAGAGUGUGUCAGAGGAUGGUGGAAUUCCCGGUGUAGCGGUGAAAUGCGUAGAGAUCGGGAGGAACAUCAGUGGCGAAGGCGGCCAUCUGGCCUAAUACUGACGCUGAGGUACGAAAGCAUGGGGAGCAAACAGGAUUAGAUACCCCUGUAGUCCCUGUCUCUUAUAU